rnacentral:snoRNA from 1 species
CCCCUCUCAGGUCACACCUGGAGAGUUUCCAGUACUCUAUCAGUCUUGGCUAUGGGAGGGAGAGUCCAGCAGAGGUAUACCCAUUCCAUUCCCAGCUUUGCCAGUGGCUAGCGAGUGGAAGGCAAUCUGCUAAGGAU